CGAAGGGGGCUAGCGUUGUUCGGAAUUACUGGGCGUAAAGCGCGCGUAGGCGGCGAUCUUUGUCAGAGGUGAAAUCCCGAGGCUCAACUUCGGAAUUGCCUUUGAAACGGGAUUGCUUGAGUCCGAGAGAGGAUGGCGGAAUUCCUAGUGUAGAGGUGAAAUUCGUAGAUAUUAGGAAGAACACCGGUGGCGAAGGCGGCCAUCUGGCUCGGUACUGACGCUCAGGCGCGAAAGCGUGGGGAUCAAACAGGAUUAGAUACCCUGGUAGUCCACGCUGUAAACGAUGAGUGCUAGUUGUUGGGAAGUUUACUUCUCAGUGACGCAGCUAACGCGUUAAGCACUCCGCCUGGGGAGUACGGCCGCAAGGUUA
rnacentral:rRNA from 1 species